GUCACACGAAUCGUAGACUCAGAACAGCUAUUAUGACCUUCCGCACCACGCAAUGAAACGCAUUCAAUUUUUAUGUUAGGGGAAACAUUCAAGAAUAAAGGAUUGUAAAUUCAACGAAGGCAAGAUCUGGUGAAUCUAAAAUGACCGUGGAAUUAAAUUCAGCUCCCGAAUAAGACAAAUCUGAUGCGAAACAGGAAAUAUGUCAUUAAAUGAACAAGAAAAGCAGUUGUUAGAAACACUGUUGAGUCAGGCUGAUGCCGUAUCCCCUUCAUCAGAAAGAUCACAGCAUGCAGAACAUACAGAUUUUCAUAAUUCCAAUAAUGACUUCCAUUUUCUGGACAAGCUCAUCAACAGUGGCAUGGGAAAUGACAUUGAGAGUAUGGCCUUCUCACAGUCAACUUCUAGUGCUUCCUUCGUUGAACCAAGACAUAACACCAGUUUCCAGUCAGGUGUUGAGGGGCAGGACAGUCAGCAGAAUGGUUCAGUGGGACAAGCAUUUACCCAGCAGCCAGCAACAGCAUAUGCUUCUCAGCAGAGUCCAAUGCGGGGAUUCCAGCAAUACUCAUCAACUCUGCCGUCAUCCAACUCCGAUCAUGUACCAAUGAGUCCCUCUAUGACAGAUGAUUUUGAAAGCCAAGGUGCAGGCUAUCAGCAACAGUUUCCAACGGCCACUCAAAAAAGCCUGGAUUGCUGCCCACUGGAUCAGCCUGGCCCUACAACUGACUGCUAUGGAAACUCUUCCAGUUUUACAUCACAGUUCAAGUUAGACUUGAGCUUAUCUGCACCUAGUAACCUUGUCAGCUCAUCAUCAGGAUUGAGCUUCCAGGCACAAACAGCUUCAUUUCCAGAGUCAGAUAGCAGCGUGGAGAGUGAUCAGCCUAAGCCAUACCACCAUAGUACAGGGCCGUUUCAGCAUGCUGCCACUGGGCCUACUGCUGGCAGUGGUGGUGCCGAUGUAAAUAGUCUUUCACCAGGUGGCUGCCAGAGUCAGGUGGCAGACUACCAACACCAGCCAUUUCCCAACCACUUUUCCCCUGCUGAACCCAGUGUUGCCUCUGUGCCUGCUGUGAGUCAGACAGGCAGUAUCCAUCAGCAUUUCCAGGGGACACCACAGUGUGCUUCUGUAGGAGACACUGAUAGUUCUGCUGCUACUCUAGAUUUCAGCAGUCAGAUACCUGGAUUUCAGACACAGCAGCACCAGCAGAGCACACUUUUUCAGCAGGGUAACCCCCAGGCUUCAGGAUGUUUGGAUAAGGCACUACAGGAAAGCAGGCAUGAUGGGACCCUUGUGCACUACCAGCCUGAAACCUCCGGAUUUUCCCAAGAACCGCAACAUCAGCAACAACAGCAAGCAGUUGUGUUUCCUCAUGGUGCCUCAUCAAGUGCUGUGUUAUCUAGCACACAGGCAGGAAGUUUUCCUCAGCAACAGCAGCAGCUUGGUCAGUUUCCAAACUGCCUCCAUUCCUGUGGCCAGAAGGAAGAGGAAUGUGGGAGUGCAGGUGUUGCACCGAUCCAGCUUUCAGACUUUCAAAUGCAGCCCUCUUUCCAAAGUCCUGCAAGCAGUACUUCACAGUCUAGUUCUCAACAGCAGGUUUCUGACAACCCAAAUACCUAUCAUUCAUUUGCUAAUAGUCCAGCACCCUACCAGCAGCAGACCACAGGAUUUGGAUCUCAGAAUUCAAUUCAUAUUCUGGCGCCAUCUACAGCACAAACUGAACAAAAUGUAGGUGUUUGCCAGGCCCAGAUAUACCCACAACAGGGAGAUCAAAGUCUUGGAGUCACAUUCCACAGUCAGGGAUCACCAUUUUCUCACAGUAUUAUUCAUCAGGGAGACCAGACUGUUUCCUCCACUGAUGCUCAGGCCCAGCCCCAGUGCUACACAGGGGAAACUGUUGUUCAAGAUCAACAGUCUACAGAUGGCUUCAAAUCACAAACGUCUGGUUUUGUGCAUCAUGCAUUUCAGCUGUCAUCACAGACUUCUACUCAGCAAGAUCAUGAGCUGAUGCAGGAGACUCCAAGAGAAAGGAAGAUGGAAGCAGAAUCUACAGCAUUUGUAUCAGACUCAUCUCUUACUCAUACUACAUCCCUUCAAGAUCAGACCAUGGAAGUGAGUGCUGGUGAUGGACAGUUCCGAGAGAAGGUAAAAUCAUUUGACCAACAGUCUCCUAUCACACUUCGGCAGCAAGAGCAGCCCAUGGACACUCAGCAGUCACCAUUUUACUCUAGUGCAACUGCAGACUCAUCUAGAGUCUACGAAGCAAAGACAACUACACUAUCUCUGCCUCAAACAGCCGAAGCAGGUGAAAGUUUCUUGAAACAAAGUACAAGGUUUCAGGGGAAUUUAAAUGGGUUUCAGGCCACCCCAGCUGUUUGUUCAUCAGAAGAUGGUAUGCAACAGUUUGCAGGUUUUAUACCCAGCAGUCUCCCUGUCAACACUAUACCAUUUUCACCAAAGCCUGAUGCCAAGAAUAACACUAUGUGCAGUAACUUUACAAACUCUAGUUUGUUUGGAUCUCAGAGCAUUGGAGUAGCUGGACAAAAUACUGCUCGACCAUCAUUUGCUGAAACAUCCCAAGUAUCAGAUAACUCUUCCAACACCCCUACUCCCUCCCCCUUGCAGUCCGAUGUGCUGAAUCAGAGUGCUGCCAGUUUUAACCAGUUUGAGAACAGUAAUGGAUCUACCUUCAUCAACAGUUCCAAACAGCAGCAACAGUCAGUGGUGCAACAUCAGCUAGAGCAACAACCUCUUCACAUGCCACAGCAGCUUGUUCAACAGCAACAACAACAUCAGACUCAUCUGCAGCAUGGUAUUUACUCUCAAGGAGAGCAGACAAGGGAUUCUUUCUCUCUGAAUCAAAAUGCCAGCUCAGAGAUACUGACUGCUUUCAUUUGCCAGGAAGCAGGCCCACACUUUGGACAAGGUUUAUCAUCAGCUCCUCAGGUUCCAUUGCACACUGCCUCUGUACCAGUAGUAAACAGUAAUCAGCAGGAUUCCAGUCACUUUCAGCCAGCCAGAGUUGCUGUUGGACAGCAGCAAGGCCCAGCACCUGCUCAUGUGGUCGGCACACACCAACCAUCCCCACCUUUCAACAUGGCAAACUUAAGCUCCAACUCUCAUCCCCAACAAUCCCCCAUCACCUUGACCCCAGACAAAUCGCCUCUAGCUGCCUUGUUUGACUCCAGACAGGCUAAUGCUGCCCUGAAUUUGCUGGCUUCUGUUGUGCUAAGCCAGAUCCAGGCUGUCUUGCCCCACAGUGCGCAGAUCUUUGCUGCUAGUCAGCAUCAGAAGGAGGGUGGAGUCUUGUCAUCUGGUAAUGUACCAUCUGCAGUUGCUGCUGUUUCUGACCCUAUGCAGCAGUUCUUUCAAAGACAAGUAAAUCUAAACGAUAUUGUUCCAUCGCUGCUUAUUCCUCAGCAGCAACAGCAACAACAAACAUUCCAACCACAACUACACCAUCAGACAGCUCCCAGCCAGAUCCACCACCUUACCCAGAGUCAAGCUGUUCCAUUCCAGCAGUGUCCUCCAUCAUCUCAGACACAACCAAGCUUUCUGGCCCCACAGGUAUCGCAGCAAGCUGCUUUUCUACCUCAGCAACAGUCGCACCAACAAGAUCCUUCAACUGCCUCUUGGCAUCCCCAGCAGCAAAUAUUGCAGGUUCCAAGUUCCAUUGCUAGUAGCCUAGGCCUAACAGUGACCAGCAAUGGGCAGCUGAUGAUUGGUGAGCAAGUGGUCAAACUUGUUGUUCAGCCCAGUUCUUCUGACGGUGGCAGUGGUGUUUCUGGGACACUUUCCAGUCCCCUAGAAGGUGCUGCUGGGCUCCAGCAGACAAUGUUUCCUGCACUGAUGGUAAGCCUUCCAGCAGAUUUGAAGAACAUUGAUGUUCAGCCAUUUGGCUCAGCACUGGUCACUAGUUCCCAUCUUACAGUCACCACCACAGCACCAUCGUUGGAUUCAAACAUAUCAGGCCACACCUCUGUCACAUCAUCUUUCUCGGCGACCCAGCCCGUGCCUGCUGUUACUGCCCCUGAGAUACUUUCCUUGGCCUCCAUUAGCAGUGAUAUUGUUAGUGGGCCUGCUGUUACUCCUUUUAUGACAGCUGGUGUUGAACCUGUGACUGUGCAAGCUUCAAAAGAUAUGAACGUGCUUGCAAAUGCAACCGAGGGUCCAGCAAACGUAGCAGAUGUUUUCCAUUUCCCAGGCAAUCCUGCUGCUGGGAUUGAAAAGCCCAUGGAGAUUUCACAGAGUUCUGGAACUGGUCUUGACUCAGUAGGAGCCUUCAUUAAUGUGGCAGAGGGCAGUGCCAGCAUGACUCUUUUGAAUGCAUUCAAAAUGGCUGUUGCAGACCAGCAUCAGGAUGCUGCUGGAUUUCAGGUUCCAGGCUGUCCUCCAACUCAGACUCUCUCUGCAGGAUUGGCGAACAUUGAGGACACUUGUAAGCCUAUGGAAACAAAUGAAAGAUCUGGAAAAAGUAGUAUCUUGAAGAUGGAUGUAAGUGAGGUAGCAGGGCAGGCUUACAGUGAUGUGUUUUUUGACAAUACUAAGGUGAAAAAUAAUGAAACAUCACAACGACUGGUAAGAAAAUCGUCUGCAGAGGAUAAAGUUGAAGAGAGAAUAGACUCAGGGUCGAUGCUGAGGAGAAUAUUGACAAUGGAAGACAAUGAUGCUCUUGAGGGGUUGCCUAGCAGUGACAUGCUGCCUGAGGGUUCCUCACCAGAAACUUCACCGCACAAGCAAGAUCUUGAUUCACCUAAUGCACUUGUUGCAGACACCAACACUCAGGCAACUUUGAUCGAAAAAUCGGAGAAGCUGGACUUAAGCUGUGAAGCCCAUCCAGAAGAUGAGGUUCCUAGUCAAUUUUGGAGUUCAGUGGAAGGUUUUCCUGCUGCCUCAGUAGAUGAGGUGGUGCCAUCUAAAGUUCACAAAGGCUUGAGUGAUCAGGAUGCUUCAUGCAAGAUUGUCACUUUGCCAUCUGUAGAAAAGUUGUUUGAUGCAGGUGGAGCCAGUUCCUGCUCAUCAUUUGUGUUUACAAAGUUUGGCUCAGAGGAUUGUGUUUUCACCUUUGGAACCUGCCAGGCCAGCCUUGUCAGCACAUCUGCUACGGAGACAAAGGUGACAAGUGUCAUUUCAAGUAGUAGCGUGAAGCAGCCAGACUGUGUCAAGCUGUGUGUUUUACCAGCUCCUCCCAUUCGCCCAAGCAGUCGCAGGCAGAAAGAAGCGAGCCUGAGUGCUCAGUUUCCAAGCAAAGUUGGCUCAUAUGAGUUGCGCAUUCUCACCCAGCCUGAGGAGCAGCACCGGGCUCGUUACCUGACUGAAGGCAGUCGUGGUGCUGUGAAGGACCGCAGUCAGCAGGGAUAUCCAGUCAUCAAGCUCCAUGGCUAUAAAGAACCUGCUACGCUCCAGGUCUUCAUAGGUAACGAAGCUGGCCGCAUCAAGCCACAUGGCUUUUACCAGGCUUGCAGAGUCUGCGGGAAAAAUUCAACACCGUGCACAGAGCGAGAGAUUGAGGGUACUACCGUCAUUGAGAUUGAGAUAUCACCGAUGAAUGACAUGAUUGUCAGCAUGGACUGUGUGGGGAUCUUGAAACUAAGAAAUGCUGAUGUGGAGAAGCGCAUUGGUAUAGCCAGAGCUAAAGCCAAGAAGAAGAACAGCACUAAGGCAAGGCUAGUGUUCAGGGUGGCACUGAGGAAACUGGAUGGCUCCUUCAUCACUCUUCAGACAGCUUCUACACCCAUACUUUGUACCCAGCCCAUUGGCCAACCAGAGAUUAGCCGGAUGAGUUUGUCAGAGAUAAGUAUCAACCAGACCAAGGACCUAUUCAUCAUUGGCAAGAAUUUUCUCAAAGGGACGCGUGUAGUGUUCCAGAAGUUGGGACUGGAUGAAAAAACAGUGGAGUGGCAGAGUGAGGCUGAGAUUGAAGCCGAGUACUUCCAGCAGACACAUUUAAUCUGCAAAGUACCAGAAUAUCCAAAGAAAGACAUAGAGAAGCCUGUGUAUGUCCAGAUAGUUGUACAAAGUGGAGGCAAGUCUAGUGACCCACAGGACUUUAUCUAUACACCAGGUCGAAAAUCUUAAUCGGGGAAAAAGAUGUAACCCAUGCUUCAUAUGGCUACGCUUGGCUGAAUUGAGAGAUGGUUCUUCAGGAUGGCCAAGGUAUUGGUCAAGCAAGAGGAUGC
rnacentral:misc_RNA from 1 species